rnacentral:misc_RNA from 1 species
UACAGAGGGUGCGAGCGUUAAUCGGAUUUACUGGGCGUAAAGCGGGCGUAGGCGGCUUUUUAAGUCGGAUGUGAAAUCCCCAAGCUCAACCUGGGAAUUGCAUUCGAUACUGGGAAGCUAGAGUAUGGGAGAGGAUGGUAGAAUUCCAGGUGUAGCGGUGAAAUGCGUAGAGAUCUGGAGGAAUACCGAUGGCGAAGGCAGCUCUCUGGCCUAUUACUGACGCUGAGGUACGAAAGCAUGGGGAGCGAACAGG